UACGUAGGGGGCUAGCGUUGUCCGGAUUUAUUGGGCGUAAAGAGCGUGUAGGCGGCCAGGUAGGUCUGGUGUGAAAACUCGAGGCUCAACCUCGAGACGUCGGUCGAAACCAUCUGGCUAGAGUCCGGAAGAGGAGUGUGGAAUUCCCGGUGUAGCGGUGAAAUGCGCAGAUAUCGGGAAGAACACCCGUGGCGAAGGCGGCUCACUGGACCAUAACUGACGCUGAUGCACGAAAGCUAGGGGAGCAAACAGG
rnacentral:rRNA from 1 species